UACGGAGGGUGCAAGCGUUGUCCGGAAUCACUGGGCGUAAAGGGCGCGUAGGCGGCUCAUGAAGGCUGUGGUGAAAGUCCGGGGCUCAACCUCGGAUCGGCCGUGGCGACUCGUGGGCUGGAGCACUGUAGAGGCGGGUGGAAUUCCGGGUGUAGCGGUGGAAUGCGUAGAGAUCCGGAAGAACACCGGUGGCGAAGGCGGCCUGCUGGGCAGUUUGCUGACACUGAGGCGCGACGAGCGUGGGGAU
rnacentral:rRNA from 1 species